rnacentral:rRNA from 1 species
AACGAACGCUGGCGGCAUGCCUAACACAUGCAAGUCGAGCGCCUGUAGCGAUACGGGAGCGGCGCACGGGUGAGUAACGCGUGGGAACCUGCCCUUAGGUUCGGGACAACCGCGGGAAACUGCGGCUGAUACCGGAUGAAGUCCCCGAUAGAGAUAUUGGGGCCCAAAGAUUUAUCGCCUUUGGAGGGGCCCGCGUCGGAUUAGGUAGUUGGUGGGGUAACGGCUCACCAAGCCUGUGAUCCGUAGCUGGUCUGAGAGGAUGAUCAGCCACACUGGGACUGAGACACGGCCCAGACUCCUACGGGAGGCAGCAGUGGGGAGUAUUGGACAAUGGGGGCAACCCUGAUCCAGCAAUGCCGCGUGGGUGAUGAAGGCCUUCGGGUCGUAAAGCCCUUUCGGCGGGGACGAUGAUGACGGUACCCGCAGAAGAAGCCCCGGCUAACUUCGUGCCAGCAGCCGCCGUAAUAC